UACAGGGGUGCAACGUUGCUCGGAAUCAUUGGCGUAAAGCGCACGUAGGCGGUUCGUUAUGUCGGAUGUGAAAGCCCUUGGGCUUAAACCGAGGAAGUGCAUCCGAAAACUGGCGAGCUAGAGUACGAAAGAGGAUCGCGGAAUUCCGGUGUAGAGGUGAAAUUCGUAGAUAUCGGGAGGAACACCGGUGGCGAAGGCGGCGAUCUGGGUCGAUACUGACGCUGAGGUGCGAAAGCGUGGGGAGCAAACAGG
rnacentral:rRNA from 1 species